CUAAAAUCUCUUUAGGGGUGUGCGUAGGCUCCUGUGUCUAUGCCUGCUUUUGACUGCCCAGUUGAAGCCUCUUCCUAUGCCUUUUAAAAUUUCACGCACUAUAAGGAGGAAGAGCUCAGGGCUCCCAAAACUUUUUAUUUAGAGGGAAGAAUGCUAGGGAGAUGGGUAUGCAGAGGGUUGACCAAAUUGGAAGAAAAUAUUUAUUCUGUAGUUUGGUGUUGGAAAAGGGAAUUUUCCAAUCAGCCACACCUCAGUGUUGCGGCAAAAUAAUUCUUGGCUCCCCUGGAAACGCAUGGGCAAGGUAGGGCAGAGCUGCUGCUGCUGCUACUGCCACCACCCUGGGCUUCCUGCUGACUCUGGGCUACUCCCUGGGGACAACAGAUUUGCAUUGACGUCCGGGGCUGUCCAGAGGCCCUCAAGAGCCAGUUGUGAGCUGAGCCCAGUAUGGGAAAGAUCUACCUUCUGGAAGCUACUACUACGUGGUGCUUGGAAAGGUGAGGAUGGGGGACUGACCCCAGGAAAUUGCUCGAAACUCCGUAUCUGGUGGGAUUUCCAGAAAAGUCAGUGGGAGACGGGAGGUUUGGAGGCCCCGGGUUAGAAAGGUUUGUCAGUCUAGGGAAUGAGGAGAAUCAGAAUAAAACUAGGGCAGCAGGCUGUUCGCCUUUGGUUGGGGGAGGGAGGCCUCGAAAAAUCAGGGUCCCGGCUCUCUAACCUGUCUUUGUCGCAGGUCUCACGUUUGUGGGGAGGGGGUUUACCAAGCCCUGCGCCAUGCGCAGUGGCCCCCACCCGUGACUGCGCAUCUGGAAGCACAGUGCGCCCUGGGUCUCUGGCCUAGGACGAGCACCGCCCUUCUUAUUACAUAACUGAGGGCAUGGCACGCGCCUUCUCGGCCCUUCCUUGCAACCCUACCUUAUUGCUCCCCAGGGCCCAUAGAGCUGGGGAGGGUCUGACUGGGUAGCAGUGAAGGACUGCAAUCCCUGGGAGGGCUAACUCUUGUCUAGUUACUGGCAGGAGCCAAGCUUGAGGACAAAAGUGGUGGUUUUCUAGCCUCAUCUUGGGGAAGAGGCUACAGAACAUCCUUCUGAGUGCCCCAUACCACCUAUGGCCCCUAGGGCCUCUCUGGUGGAGGGGGUGGCACCCUUCUUUCACUCAUGUCCCAUCUGAUUUUUGAGAGGAUGUUUCUGAAGGAAAAGAUGUGAUGAUUAUGGGGGGCUUGGUUGGGAGGUAGUUUUGACAGUUUACUCCCCUUGUCACUGGCUUCCCCUCUUUUCCCUGGGUGGGUUUAUGAUCUUUCUGGACUCCUCUGAUGAGCUGCCAUUUUGGAGCCAUUUCUGCUGGUCUCCGACAUGGUGGCGUUGGUUUUUCUGUCCUGCUGUGCCAGUUCCGCAGAGUGGGCGGGGGGCGGGGGCUAUGACGGAGGAGGGGAAGGGAGGGCAAAAGCACAGCAGAGGCGGGCACAGUGGUGGCUGCCGCAAUGAAGGUGGCUCCAGGGGGCAGAGCCGCCUAGUCCCACCCUUGGACACAGUCCUGGGUGGGGAUUCAGGUGGAAGGCGUCUGGGUAGGGGUUCAACACCUGGGCCCGGCUUUGCCAGAGCGUGGGUUUCCCAUGUCCUCAUCAGCCUGGUGCUUGGAGUAGUUCGGAAAAGCUGAGUGUCUGAAUGAGAGUGGAGGCAGAGGCUCGGCAGCUCAUCUCAGACGUGUCAGACCCGUGGUUUGUGUUCCCCAAAUAGGCUCUGUCUCCAGCAGCCUCCCUGUGGGGACAGGGAAGUGAGGUCCAUGGCAGCUUUGAGGAUCUGUUCGGAUGGUCCUGCCUGCUUACUGUUUUUCUUCUCUUUCUCCUCCAUGCCCCCUGCCAGUGCCAUGGUUCCAGCUGUAGUCCUCUUGUGAGGCUCCCCGCUGCCCGUUCCCCCUCUCUCCAGGCCCUUCUGCGUGCAGCGGCCAUCUUGUCUUUCUUGCUCAGAAACUUAAAAUGGUUUCUCAUAAUUCCCAGAGUAAAAUUCCUUCCCUUUAGCGUGAUGCUCAAUGCUGGCCGUAACUGGCCUUAGGUUUCCUGUACAGUCUUACCUCUCUCCGUUUCUUUUGGUGGACCACAGGUUCCAACAAAACCAGGCAACUUCCUUUUCCUAUCUGUUUUCACCAGUGAUGUUUUCCAUGCCUCUUCUCCUCUGCAUCCACCUGUGGCAGUCUCACUUUCUCCGUGGACCUCUCCUGAUUUCCUUGGCAAGAAGCAGUUCUCAUAACCACCCCUGCCCUUUCAGCCAAACUUCCAUACAGUCUGUCCCUUUUUAUGGUACUUUUGUUGUGUUAUGAUUGUGUAUAAAUAAGUCUUAUGUCACCUAUCAGAUUGGGAGCUCCAGGAGGGAGGCUAGAGAAAGGAGAAGGAAAACAAAUACCUAUUUGGUGCCUUCUGUUUGACAGAUACCAUGUUAGACACUUUCCCUGCAGUUACUUCAUUUAUUCCUUUCCACAGCCCUGUGGGGAGCAUCCCAUGUCUAGUAAGUGGCCUGGUCAUGACUAGAGCCCUGGUCUUCCAAAGCUUUUACAUUUUUCCUCUCUGAAUUACUGGUGUUUACAAGAUGGCUGUUACGAAGUAGAUCCCCAAAAUUUGUCUAUUUAAGGAAUUUUGUAAGUCCCUAAUGCUCUGAGGGAGUUUGGGUGGUCAAUCUUGUGUCCAUGGUCUGGGUCCCUCAGCUGUUUCUUGACACUGUCAUUAACUUUCUCCUCUUCGUUUGUGGUCAGGUUCACUCAAGAUGAUGGCUUUUUUCUUGUAGCUGAAAUUGAUGGAUUAACUGACUCAGUUAUCCUGGUUGCCUUCCUCGUACAAGAGGAGGGAGAGGUGGAGUGGGAUAUAGCAUCUUCAAAGCCAGAAUAAGCUCCAGAAUUAGAGAGCAGGGAGCAGAGACACUGGACUUGAACAGACCUAGGUUUUCAUUGUGAUCCUUCUUCUUAGCUGAGUGACUUUAGACAAGUCAUAUGAUUUAAGUUUUCAUGUCCUCGUUCAGUGAGAUGGAGCUACUACAACUGUUAUACAGAAAUGCCUAAUAUAUUGGCAGCAAAUAGGUUCCCAUCCCUACCCAGUGGUUUAUCAGGGACUUAAAAUGGGAGCAUAGCAGGGGGCUAGAGAAGAAAUGGGGGAGACAGGAGCUCCUGUGCCCUAAGUGGUAUCACAGCAGGGGCGCAGAGGAGGUAACCUAGGCGUUACGCCCUUCAAGCCUGCAAGGUGGUACUGUCCCCCACCUGGCAUAAAUACCCCUUUACUUCUGCAUCAGGAACAUGCCGUGGCAUGGAGUGGUGGGGGCUGGUGACGGCAGCGGGAGGGUCAGUGAGCUUUCCUGGGAGCCUUUUGAUGCCAGGUUAGUUUCCCUUCUUUCUGAAUCUCAGCAGUGGCUGCCUGCUUCCCUGACGCUGCUGAGUCCCACGGGAGGGGAGCUGGGCACCCUGAAGCCCCUCGUUACCAAUUCGGGGGCCGCGAAGCAGAGAGUGACGACAGCCAGUGAGUCGUCAGUCGACGGCAAUGGGGACCCUGGUGACGGCUGCUUUGUUGUUUUUUUUCCUCUUUGGAAGAUGACUCAGUGUAUCGGGAGCCGGGAGAUGGAGCUCUCAGCAGAGUGGCCAGGAUGUUCUGUCAACAUGAAAGCUACAAAAACAGCUCGGGGCUCUGAGCUGAUCCUUAGCCUGCGGUCAUUUUCAGGGAGGGCUGGACAGAGAAGGCGGCCACCGCCCGGGCAUCAGGAUGGGAGCGACACCAGAGGACUCAGGAGAGUGCAGCUUGCUCUGUGAGUGGGUGACAACCUCUUGGCGACUCAGGCUCAGCUGAGGAUGGUGCCAGUGUGCCGGAGACAGCCGUCAUACUGCCGGAUAGAGUGGCUCACUUGCAUGUAUUUGGAACAAAAAAAGGAGAUGCCUGGCAGCCCCGCUCUCUGCAGUGCUGUUGAGCCACCAAUUUUUGUGGUUUUGUGACCACAAGUGCUGACUGAUGCGACAUGACCCCAGUCUUGUCAGUGAAUCAUCACCAGGCUGCUUACUGGAAACUGGAUGCAGCAAGGAAAUAGGAUUUAACCGCUCUCUGCCUCCCAGGUAAGUCCAGUGUGGGCUGCUCCCUCCAGCCUUCCCCCAUCCUCCUUCCUUCCCAUGAACACCAUUUUCCUUAUUCUGCCGGGGAAUCCUCAGACGUCUCCAUUCAGAAUCUCCCAAACGAUUGUUCUCUUUUUUGCAUUCUUCUCCUUCUGGCUUUUCUGUGAAUGGGGUUAGUAACUAGCACAGGGUUGGGGGCAGGAUGGGCAGCUGAAGUGGUCGGGCUUUCGGACGUGUGGGAGAUAGCUGGGUAGUGUUGCUGGGUGUGGCAGUUGGCAGAGCAUUUGGGCCUCCCACAGUAAUAGAAACUCUCUUUGGCUCCAGCAUCCAGCAAGAGGUUCUGGGUUUAACCCCUCGGUAAUCCUGGGAGCCUUCCUAGUGCCUGGGGAUUCUCUCCCCUGUGUAGUCUCAGUGGAUGGCCUGUCUUAAGGCCAUCUAGAUACAUUUUGCCUUGAGGGGGCUUAGUCUAGGUUGGUGGUCUGGAGUUUGGACUGGGCUGAGCAGUGAGCUUUGGGACUCUCCCUAAUUUUGGGGUUUCUUUGAAUGAGCCACUUUCUUCCUCUAGGCCUUCAUUACCUUUGCCUUAAAAAACAAAAUCCCUGGUCCAGUAAGCCAUUGCAAAGCAUCUCUAGGAAGUUGACAAAGAAAUGCUUUUCUUCUGCCUCACUUGCUGCCGAUCACAGUAAUAGCAAUGGUGAUUAAAAAUGAAAAAUGAUGAUGGCCUGCAGAAUCAGGGAGGUCAGUGGCAUCAUUGAUACAAUUCACAAAGCAGACUCUCGGUGCCCACACAUCACUAGGAAGUCUCUCUCCUAUCGAGUAGAUGACUACAGCAUUCUUGGCCAGUAAAGCCAGUUGGAAUUAGCCAACAGCAGAUUGGUCUGGGCUCUAAAGAUAAAAGGAAUUAUGCUGGGUAAUUUUCGGAGGUACCUAUGGGAUCCUACCUCUGGCCACACAGUGGUCGCCUCUCUCUGCUCAUAUGUUUCGGUGGGGGUGGGGGGUUCCUCUUCCCCAUGCUGCUCCCGUUGCUAUCCAGGGAAGAUUGGCCAAUUCUGCUUCCUGUUAUUUCUUCUUCUCCUCUAUCCAUUUGAGGUGAGUCUCUAGAUUGGCUGUGAACAGCCUGAGGAACCCAGGGCUGUUUGGAAGAAUCUGGUGUCUCUUCCUUCAAGGACCCUGACAGGUCUCAGCCCUCCAGCAGUACUGCAGUGAGGGAUGGCAGGGGGUGUUGGAGUGGAGAGAUAUCGACUUGGGGGCAGCUGGGGAGACUAAAAGGAGUGAGCCAAGUCCCUCAAGAAGUGUUGGCUAGAGUCUGGCCAGCCCUGGCUGUAGGGCUGGAGCCAGACGUAGCUGCUGGCUGUGCUUGGGAGUCUCAUAUGUGCAGUGUGUCCCUGGGCAUAGCUCGUCGUGAUCCCCACUCCCACGAAUAGCCCUGUCCUUGGUUAGAUUGGGAAAACCAGGGUGGGAAGUAAAGGGGAGGUUGGUUUUGCUCGUGGUCAUGCAGUUAUCUCUCUGGCCUCUGAUGUUUCCAGAAUUGGGAUUGGUGCUUCCCUGCUGAUUUUCCUAUUUUUGUCCCUCAUCUGGUUCUUUUCCUCCUUGCUCACCAGCGUGGGUUCUACACACAUGACAUGGGGCAUUGUGUGUUCCCAAUGAGGAUAGCAGAACAGUUGGUAUCUCCUGAGAGAGGGGCCAGCAUAUCUGGCACUUUUUUCUUGACCUUUGAAUUUCUGAGGUCUGGGAGUCAGGAGGCAGCAUGGGGCCUCUCCAUCCAGGAUCCAGCAGAGGUUAACAGAGUUGGUGGCUCUGGAGCUGAGGUGGUGUGGCUUGGCUGGGAGUUGUGGGGGAGAGGCCCUGCCAGGGGCCCUGAUUGGUCAGUACCUUCUCUAUUCCAUUGAAUCCUGGUCCGGUCAGCUCUGUGAAUUGUUUAAUGCAUAUCUUGGCUCUGUCCCCUGGCUCGAGUGUCCCUAAGGUUGCAGCCACAGCUUUAGAGAGGAUCUGUACCUUGUGCUGGUCACUUUUUUUGGGCGUGUUACCUCCCUCUGAGAUAUGUAAGAGAUACCACCCUUUCCCACCAGCCGGCUGUCUGUGGGAGGCCCUCAUUUUGCUUUGCUUUUCUGAGACUUGGAGUGACUGUGAGGAAAGCAUGGACUGAGUUUGCUUUCUUGCUGGCUCCUUCCGCAAGAGCUGCUCAUAGGCUGAUAAAGCCAGAGAACACCUCCAGGGCCCCAUGGCCUGUGCGGAGCCUGGUACCAUAGUGUCAAGCCUACAGGGAUGGACUGGGGACAUGGGGGCAGAUAGAGCCACGUGGGGAGGUGGUAUGUGUGGUUAGAUCACAGGAGCAAGUCCAGGAGGGUGUGGGAGGACAAGUCCAGUGCUCAGCCAGGGCUGCCUGUCAUGGCCCAGGAUGGAUGUGUGCAUCUCCUGUGAAGGAUUUGCGUCUGAGUGCCUGGUACUGAAGGUAGGAUGGUGCCCCGAUCAGGGUCUAUAAUGAGGCAUGAAGGUAUGAGAUGGGCAUCAGAGUUGUUGGUCCAAGGGAAACUGACCUUUUUUAAGGGCUCUCCUCUCCUUAUCUGAUUUCAUCCUCAGAACAACCAUAUGACAUAGGGAUCACUUCCCUUUUAUAGUUAAAGAAACAGAUUAAGUGACUUAACCCAAGGUUAUGCAUUUGGUAAGGGAGGUUGUUGAGAUUUAAAUGCAUGCACUUCUUAUUCCAAAGCCUCUACGUUAUCUUUACUCUUUUGGGCUGAAGUCAGACAUUUUUGCGAACUAAGAUUCUCAGAGGACUGAUGUGAACCAGAGUGAAAAGGCAGACACCCGAAGGAACUUUCCAGUCACUGGGGACGGUUGUGCCGCAUUCCUUUGGGGGGAGGCAGGGCAGACCCAAAUGCCCUUUGGUAGCCAUGGACAGGCAGAGCUGAGUAAGGCCAGUACAUGGCGUCUGCUGCUGUGUACGGAGCCUCUGCUAUGUGCCAGGGACCAUGCCAGGCGCUAGAGAUACAGAACUCGACAAAGCCAACUUUCCACUUUCAUGGGGCAUACAUUCUAGUGUGGAGAGACACCGCUAA